GAAGUGCAGCUGCUGCUACUACCGCAUAUCAUGUUAGACACUGUGCUGCAUUCUGGGGACAGAGAGGGGCAAAACCGGUCCUCUGGCCUCAGGGAAUUAUAGUCUAGAAGAGGGGGCAGGGAGUCGAGCGGCAGGUCAGGACAGCCUCACCAGUGCUGAGCCACGGUAGACCAGACUUCCAUGGGAGUCCAGAGAAGACUGGUGGCCAGGGAUGGGUGCUGCUUCUAGACAGAGUCAUAACUAAGCACGGUCUUGAGGAACAAAUCGACGCUGGUCGGGGGAACUGUCAGAGUUUUAACUGCAAGCAACAGAAAUAGACCAGAGCCGGAAACCGCAGAGCCAUCAGCUGGCCACACGGUCUCUAGGAAGGCCACAGAACCAUUGGGAAAAACAGUGCCGAGGUGAUAUGAGGCUGUUGGUGCUGUGGCAUUGGAGACGGCCCCGGGAAACUGCACGCUGCUGCCAUCGCCCCCACCACGGCCAGGAGGGAGUCUUCCCUGCCCCGCCUCUGGGUGGCAUUGCUUCCAGAAUCCACAUCCCAGACUGCAUGCCCCCUCCAGCCGGUCAUGCUGCAAAUAUAGGUUCCUGUCAUGGGGAAUAUUGGGAAAAAUAUGAAUUCGAACGCGUCACUCUGGGAAAGAUGAUUCGAGGCACAGAUUGGCAGGAGGAAUGGACAAUGACAUCCAUAUGUGUUUAUUACAGUAGUAAAGAAUGACUCGCCACACUGCACACGCUGGCCUCCCACAACCUUGGACGUGGCUGCCUUCCCACUGCCGCCCCUCUGUGCCCGCUCUUCCCUCAGCAGCUGCUUCCCUGAGUGCCUCCUUCGGAUGCUGCGGAUCUCUGCUUAAAUGUCACCUCCUCUGAGAAGCUCUCCUUGAUUUUCUGGAACCACAUCGAAUGCCUGCUGUUAGGCUGUCACCGUGCCCCCACUGGUUUGCUUCACUGACCUUUCCCUUUUUACUCUCUGCGUAUUGACUUAUCACCUGUAUUUCCCUGGUGGUGGAAGCCCCGCGAAAGCAGGUUCUGUCGUUGCUUUGUUCACCGUUGUAUCCCCAACACCUCAUUCGGUUCCUAGCACAAAGUGGGUGCUAUAGACCACAUGUUUAUGUCCCCUAAAGUUCAUGGGUCGAAUUCUAAUCCCCAUGGGAUGGUAAUUAGACAUGGAGCCUCGGGGAGGUAAUUAGGUCAUGAGAGUGGACAGUCUUUUAUAAAAGAGACCUCAGAAAGCUCCCCCACCCCUCGGCCACGCAAGGACGUAUGUUGAACUGCACUGAAACCCAGGUUGUGUGAAGAGUAUUUGCAAGAGCCACCAAAUAACAUUUCUCCCUCGGGGUUUUCUUCACACACGUGAUUCGGUGCAUGCACUGGACCCUUCGCACCCGAUAUUCUCUCUGCCUGGGACAGUCCUCGCCCACAGCCUCAUGGCUCACUCCUGUAACGCCCGGGACACCUGCUCAAAGUUCAUCAUAUCGAGAAGUUCAUCCCCGACCACCCGAUGCAGCAAUCUGUCCAUCAGCACGCCCCCCGGACUCUGCCUUUCCCUUCCCUCAGUCGUGUUUAUUCCCAUCUGCCCUACUGAGACGUGCGUGUUUUCUCAGCUGGUGUCACUGGCACGGGAGAGGUCAGAACUCAGGAGCCGCGUGGCGUGAGGGGGAGCUAACAUUCCCUGAACUAUGUGCACCCACCUGGUGUGUCCCCGAAAUUCUCAGCACAAACCCAGCAAGUCCCAGGUGGAGGCAACCUGAUGGAAGGACCAUUGCCCUGCGUCAGGCGAGGGGCUUAUCUCCCUGAACCACAACGAUCCCGACUGUAAAAUGGAAUCAGCACUGCCCUGCCUCCCUCAUCAAGCCGUGGUGUGGGUGCGGUGAGAACCCUCUCCGUCCUCCGUACCCUCCCCCACUCCCGGCCCCCACUCCCUCUUGCCUCACUGCUUACCCUACCCUCUGGGUCCUAGUCAGGUGCAGAAAUCUGAUAAACUAACCAGAGCUAAUGGGUGUUAAUGGGUAUAAAACUUUUUUUAAUGGAGACUUUAGAAAGCCCUUUGCUUUAAUCAGGAAGAACAAUUUCAGAUUACGCCAAGAAGGGAAGCAUUUCAGCUAGAGUCUGUGGGUGGCGGUUAAUGGUUUCAGGGCCAAUGUUCCCUUUGGCAUGCCCUAAAUCAGACUUCAAAAUGACCCAGGAAGCAAUAACUGCAGGCUCGGGAGAAUUAUUUAUUGGAGUCUGCUAUUUGGUGAAAUGUCCUGAGCACGUGAGCAACAUACGUACCUGGUACUCCCUCAACGCGAGGCUUCACCCACAUAAGGUAUUUGCCUUCGCGGUACGUACGUGCGUGGUGACGGGUCAUGUCCUAGGGUUUACAAUCCAGUAUUUUCCGGCUGCAAAGCAGCAGAUCUCAGGACAUCUAGAAAGAGGAGGCCUCCCCUGCCCUCAAUAAACUCUGAGUGUCAUCGCUAGAUAAUAGGUGUCCUGUCUCCAACCCUGGGCAUUAUCACUACUGUCCUCGCACAUCAGAAGGUACGGUGAUUAAAAUUUAGUCACCAGCUUCUA